GACGAACGCUGGCGGCGUGCUUAACACAUGCAAGUCGAACGGAAAGGCCCUGCUUUUGUGGGGUGCUCGAGUGGCGAACGGGUGAGUAACACGUGAGUAACCUGCCCUUGACUUUGGGAUAACUUCAGGAAACUGGGGCUAAUACCGGAUAGGAGCUCCUGCUGCAUGGUGGGGGUUGGAAAGUUUCGGCGGUUGGGGAUGGACUCGCGGCUUAUCAGCUUGUUGGUGGGGUAGUGGCGUACCAAGGCUUUGACGGGUAGCCGGCCUGAGAGGGUGACCGGCCACAUUGGGACUGAGAUACGGCCCAGACUCCUACGGGAGGCAGCAGUGGGGAAUAUUGCACAAUGGGCGGAAGCCUGAUGCAGCAACGCCGCGUGCGUGAUGACGGCCUUCGGGUUGUAAACCGCUUUCGCCUGUGACGAAGCGUGAGUGACGGUAAUGGGUAAAGAAGCACCGGCUAACUACGUG
rnacentral:rRNA from 1 species